UACGUAGGGUGCAAGCGUUGUCCGGAAUUAUUGGGCGUAAAGAGCUCGUAGGCGGUUUGUCGCGUCUGCUGUGAAAUCUGGGGGCUCAACCCCCAGCCUGCAGUGGGUACGGGCAGACUAGAGUGCGGUAGGGGAGAUUGGAAUUCUUGGUGUAGCGGUGGAAUGCGCAGAUAUCAGGAGGAACACCGAUGGCGAAGGCAGAUCUCUGGGCCGUAACUGACGCUGAGGAGCGAAAGCAUGGGGAGCGAACAGG
rnacentral:rRNA from 1 species